rnacentral:rRNA from 1 species
GACGUGGAAGACUAGUGUUAUUCAUCUUUAAUAGGUUUAAAGGGUACCUAGACGGUAUUUCUAGCCUGAAAAAGGUACGGAUUUACUAGAGUUUUAUGUAAGAAGGGGAGUAUUUUAGGAGUAGAGAUGAAAUUCUUUAAUACCUUAAGGACUGGUAAGGGCGAAAGCAACCUUCUAUUUAAAAACUGACGUUGAGGACGAAGGCCUGGGUAGCAAGAAGG